rnacentral:rRNA from 1 species
GACGAACCGUGCAAACGUUAUUCGGAAUCACUGGGCUUAAAGGGCGCGUAGGCGGCUGACCAAGUCAGGGGUGAAAUACUUCAGCUUAACUGGAGAAGUGCCCUUGAUACUGGUUGGCUCGAGGGAGGUAGGGGCAUGUGGAACUUCUGGUGGAGCGGUGAAAUGCGUUGAUAUCAGAAGGAACGCCGGUGGCGAAAGCGGCGCACUGGACCACAACUGACGCUGAGGCGCGAAAGCUAGGGGAGCAAACAGG